UGAUUUGGGUGAGUGAGUGAAUAGUUUUGGCAAUAUAAUGCCGCUAUUAAGGUGUCAUCUCAUGUGGCUUUUGCUUACCUUUCCUUUCCUGAGCUGUCGCCUGAUCUCCACUCUGUCAAGAUGCCAUCCAGGAUUGGUGCCGCUGUUGUCAUGUCCUAUCCUGAUUUUCUCUAUAACAUCACCAAUGUCCUCCAGCUGUUUAAAGACAACUUAUCAUUUGCAAACCGGCCGCCACUUUUUGAAAAGCUCUAUCAGUGCUUCUGCUGAGUGCACACCCCCUUAUGGCCAUACAAGACUAUAAACACGUCAGCAUCUGUUCCCGCUCCAAAUACAUCGGUGGUGUAUAUCUUUAUCUCAUAAGGCACAACUGAAAAAAAUGGAAAAGCUUUUUUGUUGACAGGCCCAGAGUACCACUCGUGCCCUCAUCAUCAUCAUCCUUCCUCAUGAAGGCCUCAUCCACGGGAACCAGCUCUCUCGCUAUCUGCCCGUCGUCUUCAUCAACUGCAAGCCAGCGGUUACAAGGGAAGUAGUAUCUACAGAAGAAACACCUCUGUUCAACACUCCAAGAUAUAAUCUUGUUAAUUUACUCUCCUAAUCACACAAAAUCUUUAAUUGUUGUUUGCUGUAGGAUUUUUCUGGAAUCCAGCUGAAUAACUAAGCAAAACCCACAUGGCUGUAUGUUUGUGGCACCUACGUUGUAUCCUCUUUUGUGUCCACUAUUUCAACACGAUCCAGGUACCAAGAGGAGUAAGACUCAGAGUUGUCAUGACGGAUUCGUAGCUUCUUCAAAGGGCCCAAAUCAACGGCUGUCACGAUGAAAACAUCCUCCUGCAAAAUGCAGCAACUAGAUGUUUUACAAAUCACUUUUAAUUUAACUGUUUUUAUUUGAUAGUCCAAAGUGAUACCAGAGCAGAAAUGAAUCGGGACUCACAAGAGUGUUAACUGAUAGAAGAGAAGUUGGUUUGAAACAGUACUGAAAUAUAUGAAAGCUUUGAAACUUUACAAGGGAAAGACAGAAAAGGCACAAAUAUAUAAAAAUGGAAUGCAAUCCAUCCAGAGUUGCUACAGUAUAUCUGACCACAUCACAAAUAUAUUAUUAGAAGAAGCAUGUAAGCAAAAACAAGGUAAUAUGAAAACUCCCUGUUUCUGCGAUGCUGUGUAAAAUGUAGAGAAGAACAAAAUGCAAAAUCCCAUAUUUACCUAAAAAUAAGUCAAAGACAACUUAAAAAAAAACUUUAGUUGAAUUUGAUAUGUAUAUUAUAAUGUUCCCAAAGUCUUGAAAGUAGGCAGGGUAGUUCAACAAACAGACUCUUUUACUUUUGUUUUUACAAUUGAGUCAUGUUGUUCACGUCACAGAGGUACCUGUAUGUGGUUUGACAUUGUCCUGAGAAAUCAUCAUCUGUAUGGCUGCAUAUGAUUUGGAAUCAUCUGGUGGGAUUCACAUGUUUCUCCAUAACUUGUAUGUACUCUUCAGCCUUAACAGUGCCUACCAUGUGCAAGUUACUCAUGCUUUUAGAAUGCACACUAAUAUUAAGUCAUACAGUUCCUCACAUUUUUAGAGAGGAGGAAGUGAUGGGCAUGUUUUCCAAAAAGAAUUAAACAUUUCGGUAAAUUCAAACACUGAAUGUUUUUUUUCUCCCUGUAUUAAAUAUGCUUGAGGCUAGA